UUAGACAAUGACCGGGUGGCUGAUGUGUUUGUUUUGGUCAGAUCCCUGUCCUGCAAUACCUAAACAUUAAUGCCAUGCAUCUGAUUGGCUAACCAGUUUUUUAUGGUUACAAAAACACCCGUUUAUACAUCUGCACAUGAAAUAACUAUAUUAUAAAAGUAUUAAUUAAUUUAUAAAAUUACGGUGUUGAAUAAAAAUUUCUAA